rnacentral:rRNA from 1 species
UACGUAGGUGGCAAGCGUUGUCCGGAUUUAUUGGGUUUAAAGGGUGCGUAGGCGGCUUUGUAAGUCAGUGGUGAAAUAUGGCAGCUCAACUGUCAAGGUGCCAUUGAUACUGCGGAGCUUGAGUACAGAUGAGGUAGGCGGAAUUGACGGUGUAGCGGUGAAAUGCUUAGAUAUCGUCAAGAACACCUAUAGCGAAGGCAAUCCCCUGGGCCUGCACUGACGCUCAUGCACGAAAGCGUGGGGAGCAAACAGG